UGCCCAGCAACUCCUAUCCCUGCCUCCUCGCGGUACUGGCCUGGGUACGAGGUACGAGUAACCUCAAGGAAGAUCGGGUAACCAACCCCGGUGGGAACUUCGAUCGUAUGCAGACAGGGAAGG
rnacentral:ribozyme from 1 species